rnacentral:rRNA from 1 species
CAUAUGCUUGUCUCAAAGAUUAAGCCAUGCAUGUCUAAGUUCACACUGUUUCACGGUGAAACCGCGAAUGGCUCAUUAAAUCAGUCGAGGUUCCUUAGAUGACACGAUCCUACUUGGAUAACUGUGGCAAUUCUAGAGCUAAUACAUGCCUAUGAAGCUCCGACCCUCGUGGAAAGAGCGCUUUUAUUAGUUCAAAACCAAUCGCUGAUCGUCUUCGGGCGGUCAGUGUCCCCACUGGUGACUCUGGAUAACUUUGUGCUGAUCGCAUGGCCUUCGUGCCGGCGACGCAUCUUUCAAAUGUCUGCCCUAUCAAAUGUCGAUGGUACGUGACAUGCCUACCAUGUUUGUAACGGGUAACGGGGAAUCAGGGUUCGAUUCCGGAGAGGGAGCAUGAGAAACGGCUACCACAUCCAAGGAAGGCAGCAGGCGCGCAACUUACCCACUCCCGGCACGGGGAGGUAGUGACGAAAAAUAACAAUACGGGACUCUCUACGAGGCCCCGUAAUUGGAAUGAGUACACUUUAAACCCUUUAACGAGGAUCUAUUGGAGGGCAAGUCUGGUGCCAGCAGCCGCGGUAAUUCCAGCUCCAAUAGCGUAUAUUAAAGUUGUUGCAGUUAAAAAGCUCGUAGUUGGAUCUCAGGUGCAGGCGAACGGUCCGGCUCGCGCCGGUUCACUGUUCGUAAUCCUGCCCUACUGGUCUGCCGGCUCUCUCCCGUGGGUGCUCUUCGCUGAGCGUCCCGGGUGGCCGGCGCGUUUACUUUGAAAAAAUUAGAGUGUUCAAAGCAGGCCUCGGCUGCCUGAAUAAUGGUGCAUGGAAUAAUGGAAUAGGACCUCGGUUCUAUUUUGUUGGUUUUCGGAACUGGAGGUAAUGAUUAACAGGGACAAACGGGGGCAUUCGUAUUGCGGCGUUAGAGGUGAAAUUCUUGGAUCGCCGCAAGACGAGCUACUGCGAAAGCAUUUGUCAAGAAUGUUUUCAUUAAUCAAGAACGAAAGUCA